rnacentral:lncRNA from 1 species
GGGCGUCAUAAUUGGCAAGUACUGGUGGUCAACCCAUUUGUUUUUUGAGGAACUAAAAUUAGCUACUAUAAGGAAUAUUCAUUCAGCAAAUUUUUGAAAACCACAUAUUUAUUCCGCUUCGUAUAGCGCAAGCUGGACUGAACUUAAAAUCAAUGUCUUGAACCUAAUCCUAGGUAUCGCGCGCCCAGGUUCACCCUCACCUCCACAUUCCCCGCAUAUCGAUGGUGAAAGCACCAGACCACGUACUUCGAUUUGCGACGCUGUAGACUUCCUGUCAUAUACUUUAUUUUUAAAUCUAAAACUACUUGAAGUUAAUUCUUGAAAAUCUCAAGAAAUUAUAUUGAUUUGUUCUCCUUAAAAAAAAAAAAAAAAAAAAAAAAAAAAAAAAGGAACGGAGAUUUUCAAGCACCGCAAACGAGAUACGCGGUCUGGUAGUUCACCGUCGCACAGUGUAUCAGUUAAUUAGAGAGGUCGGACAUGACAUUUUGCACUAAAACUGCAAAUUUUGAUGUUUAGCACGUCACAUUUUGAGUUUGAAGAGGUGCUAAAUGUAGAAAAUGUCAAGAGGAAACCAAUGAACCCACUUUUAGAACCUUCAGGUUUUGUAUAAACGGAGUUAUAAGCGUUUUAAAGUUUCCAAAUCCAAAUUUGUCCGACCUCUCCUAUUGACUAGAUCCACUGUGCGUCGAUAUGCAACGAUUUAAUGUUUGUUUUUUUCAAUAUUACGUGAAUUUAUAUCCAACAAAUUUACUGCAGGACAAACCACUUAUUACACAUCUAAUUUUAUGCCAACAGGUGGCGUGAUUCAAUACUGUAAGAAGAAGUAUGAACACAAAUACGAGCGGAGUUUAUUUUUAAUCGCAGGAACCCUAGCUACAAUGGUUGCUUUCGCAUUAACUGUACUAAAUAUGCCUGAUGAUUCAGUGUAUGGUGAUACAACGAAUGUAGGGUCUGUUUUCAACAGUUUGGAGCCGGUGGUUUCAGCUACUACUUACCUCAGUGCAUGGGCCUGCACGGGCAAAUCGGUAUCUUAGCAGCGUUUGGGAUAGUGGGAGCAAUCCUGUUUUUAUACGUUGAUUGCAAAGUCGUGACAAAAUUGCAGGAGGGCAAAACAUCGGAGGUUAAUCCCUCUGAAGAACAGCUCGAGUUCAUGCCCAAGGAACACGCUGCAACCAUGAUUGUUAUGUCCAGUAAUUCAGCCCUCCAUGAUCUCCACGCAUAGGUUCGAAGCUUCAUAUCAACUCUAGGUUCCCUGCCAAAAUCAUUUUUGUGCGUCAAUUAGUAAAGUUUAUUUGAGACAUUUUUUUCCAACCGCCUCACAGUGAAUCGAGUCAAUACGAGGGGUCGGACAAGUUUGGAAACUUUAAACGCUUAUAACUCCGUUUAU